rnacentral:misc_RNA from 1 species
UUUUUUUUUAUAUAUAUGUAGUUUCAUUCAUUUUUUCUUGAUGUUCAGUGAAGAGCACCACCGAGGCACAAAAGCUCCCCUGAGGCCAAAAUCAGAAGUAAAACAUUGGAAAAGUACUUCACAAGGCAUGUUGAUCAUCAGAUCAUCCUUUUUUCACCUUUUUUUUUUUUUGAUACUAUUGACAUUUGAGAUGCAAUAGCAUAGCACAUAAAUAGUAAAUUCUACACCUGCUGAUGAUAAAAUAGGAAAUAGGAAUUGAUCGUACCGAUCUCCUCAGCCACCUCGGUUACAGAAACAAAAGGUUUUUCCCCAUGUUUAAUGACGCCAUGUUCAAGCUCUACCAUACCAACAGAUCAUCAGUGUGUAACAAUUUAACUUCAGAGAUUUUUUGCUAGUUCAUCAUACUUAGAUUGCCAAAGAUACACUGACCAUGCCAAUUAUUUACAGAGGAUUAUGCAAUAUUUUUCACCCUGGCAGCCUUGAUGCUACUAUCCAUUUUCUGUGGCAAUCCUGCAUUUGCACUUGAGAAAAAGAAAAUCUAGCCCGACUCCCUAAUUUUCAAGCAAAGUUCAACUACACUACUUUUAUGGCUCAAAUAAGGAAGGAGUUUGGUACAUCACUGUGUCCCUUUUAGUUGAAAGGAAGGGGAGAAAGGGGGAAACAAUAUUGCCUGGGGUAGGGUAUAACACUACACAACAACUUUAAUUAUACACAGCUAUAAACAAGAAUUCACUGACGGUGUCCCUCUGGCAAGGGAACCACAUUGUAAAAGGGUACUGCCCUCUGUGGCAAGGCUCCAUCUUCCUCGUCAUCAUCAAAUUCUAGUAAAUACUCUUCUGUCUUUCUCUUCCGCGGCGGACUGACAACAGUUGCCUUAUAGAGUGCUGUCGUUCCUGGAUAAACAGCCAAAACAUGUCUUCCAGGAGGAAAAUCAUGUGCACAAGAUGGAUCAUUUUUCUUGGGGAAAGGUAUAAUACAUGACAUGGGCAGCUUGUACUUUCUUUGGCCACCACCCUCUUCAUCGUCGCCUGGCUCCUCAUCAAGCACUUCAAAUCUGCAUAUCCAGUUAGAAAACUUAAAGAAAGAGAAACAGAAGGUUUUAAAAGACCUGUUAAAGUGAAGAAUGGGUAAUUUAAUCCACAGAUAGAGGGGAAAAACUGCCUACAAGCAACUCAGGGUAAAAUCCAUCAUGCAUUCACUAACACUAUUCCUUCAUUUGAUGAGCCAAAGCUUUGAGCUGUGGCUAGUGUACUGCCUAGGAAAAACUCAACCUUGACUUAAGUUUGUAAAAAAGAGAUAUAAGAAGCCCUGAGAACCAGUAACCAAAAUAUCUCAGAGAAACAAGGUUUAAAAUAUAUUUGUCACAUCUUCAAUGUUUGUAUUUGCUCUGACUCAAGAUUUUUCAUUUCUUAGCGUUUUUCAUUUUUAACUCCGCCUAAGUAGUUUGCGCUUAGCCGGUCCCAAGCCCGGAUAAAGGAGGAGGGUUGCGGUAGGUGACAACCAGCGUAAAAAUUUCGUCACACCUUAUGAUAUGGAUUCAAAUGAUAUAAACGUUGGGGCGUCCUCUACUAACGACGCGCUACAUCGGAGCCCGGGUGUAGUGAGAAAUAUGCAAGGGUGUAGGGCGUUCACCGAAAGCGACGCGCCAUGCCGGCGCCCGGGUGUGGUGUUAAGUGAGCAAGGGUUCCCACAUCAUGGACGGGUGUGGGUAAAGAAGUUAGUCCAUAGGACAGAUAGUAGAACAGAUAGUGGAACAGAACACAAGAUAGACAUAGAAAACAAUAGAAGAUAUCAUAGAAGGAGACCAAUUAGGAAGGAGCAGGAUAGGAGGAGGAUCAGGGUUGGUACUUGGAAUGUUGGAUCACUUACAGGAAAAUUAAUGGAGCUUGUGGAUACCUUGGAAAGGAGAAGGGUGAAUAUUGCUUGCAUUCAGGAGACUAAAUGGGUAGGAGAGAAAAGUAAGGAAGUGGGUAAUUCAGGGUACAAACUGUGGUUUACCGGAAAGGAGAGAAACAAGAACGGAGUGGGCAUAAUCAUAGACAGGACAUUGAAAGAUGCUGUAAUAGCUGUGAAAAGAGUAGGAGAUAGAAUUAUACUAGUAAAGCUAGUACUAGAAGGAGAAACAAUAAAUAUAGUUAGUGCUUAUGCCCCACAAAUAGGACUAGAUAGUGAGAGUAAACAAAGGUUUUGGGAAGAUAUGGAUGAUUUAAUGCAAAGCAUACCGAAUGAAGAGAAUGUUUUCAUUGGUGGAGAUUUGAAUGGACAUGUAGGAAGUGAUAGGCAAGGUUAUGAGAAUGUUCAUGGAGGUUUUGGUUUUGGCAGUCGAAAUGAGGAGGGAAAAAGCAUCCUGGAUUUUGCUAUGGCAUACGACCUAAUACUAGCAAAUACCUACUUUAUAAAAAGAGAGUCACAUUUAGUGACUUUCAAAAGUGGGCAACAUAGAAGCCAAAUCGACUUCCUCUUAACCAGGAAGACAAAUAGAGCUCUAUGCAAGGAUUGCAAGGUCAUUCCAGGAGAGGCUUUAACAAGUCAACAUCGGUUAGUGGUCUUGGAUGUCAAGUUUAGGAACAAUUCAAGUAAGGUCAGAAGAAAUAGUGUAGCUCGAACAAAGUGGUGGGAGUUCAAAGGAGUAAAGCAAGUGAAGUUCAAAAAUGAGCUUCUCGAGUCCGAAGCAUGGAAGCUGGAUAUGGAGGCCAAUGAUAUGUGGAUACAGAUGGCAUCAAAGAUUAGAGAAGUAGCUAGAAAAGUACUUGGAGAGUCUAAAGGACAUGGACCACCCUCAAAAGAGAGAUGGUGGUGGAAUGAGGAAGUACAAAAGGCAGUGAAGAGAAAAAGGGAAUGGUAUAAGAAAUUACCUAAAUGUGAUAAUAAUGAGGCAUAUGAACAGUACAAGAUAGCAAAGAAAGAGGCAAAAAAGGCAGUUAGUCAAGCAAGAGCACAGGCCUUUGAAAAGUUAUAUGAGAAACUUGGAACUAAAGAAGGGGAGAAAGAUAUUUAUAGAUUAGCAAGGAGGAGAGAAAGGAAAUGUCAAGAUCUCAAUCAAGUUAGGUGCAUUAAGGAUAAAGAAGGAAAAGUGUUGGUGAAAGAUGAGGACAUUAAAGAAAGAUGGAGAAAUUAUUUUAAUGAUCUCUUUAAUAAUAGUCAAAAUGGUAAUAGCGUGAAUAUAGACUAUAGAACAAUAGAAAAGAAUGUGAAUUAUACUAGAAGGAUUAGAUCUUUAGAAGUAAAGGAAGCACUUAAGAGAAUGAAAGUGGGUAAAGCCUGUGGACCCGAUGGAAUACCAAUUGAAGUGUGGAAGUGUUUGGGAGAUAUGGGAGUGGCAUGGUUAACUAAAUUAUUUAAUAAGAUUCUAAACUCAAAGAAAAUGCCUGAUGAAUGGAGGAGGAGUAUUUUAGUACCUAUUUUUAAAAAUAAGGGAGACAUACAGAGUUGCUCAAACUAUAGGGGAAUUAAACUCAUGAGCCAUACUAUGAAGUUGUGGGAGAGAGUUGUGGAACAUCGACUACGUCAUGACACUUCUAUCUCUCCCAAUCAAUUUGGCUUCAUGCCCGGUCGUUCAACUAUGGAAGCGAUCUUUCUCAUUAGAAGCUUGAUGGAGAAAUAUAGAGAUGUGAAGAAAGAUCUACACAUGGUUUUUAUUGAUUUGGAGAAGGCUUAUGAUAGUGUUCCAAGAGAUGUCUUAUGGAAUGUGUUAGAACAAAAGAGGGUAUCUAUUAGGUACAUACAAGUGUUGAAAGAUAUGUAUGAAGGAGCAACUACUAUUGUGCGCACAGUGGGAGGGGACACAAGAGAUUUUCCGAUCUCAAUUGGAUUACACCAAGGAUCAGCCAUAAGCCCUUACCUUUUUACAUUAGUUUUAGAUGAAUUGACGAAACAUAUACAAGAGAGUAUUCCUUGGUGCAUGAUGUUUGCGGAUGAUAUUGUUCUGAUAGAUGAGACACGAGAAGGAGUCAAUAGAAAGCUAGAGCUUUGGAGAAGUACUCUAGAGUCAAAGGGUUUUAAGUUAAGUAGAACGAAGACAGAAUACAUGCAUUGCAAGUUCAGUGAAGGCCAAACUGGUGAUAGGGAAGGAGUUAGUUUGGAUGGAGUGGUACUGUCCCAAAGUAAUCACUUUAAAUAUCUAGGCUCAGUCCUUCAAGUAGAUGGGGGAUGUGAGGAGGAUGUUAGUCAUAGGAUUAAAGCCGGAUGGUUGAAGUGGAGACGUGCCACGGGAGUUUUAUGUGAUCGCAAGAUUCCCAAUAAGUUGAAAGGAAAAUUUUACCGUACAGCCAUACGACCGGCUAUGUUAUAUGGUAGUGAGUGUUGGGCAUUGAAGGAGUCGUAUGCGUCUAAGAUAAGAGUUGCAGAGAUGAGAAUGUUAAGGUGGAUGAGUGGCCAUACUAGACUAGAUAAAGUCCGUAAUGAGAGUAUUAGAGAAAAGGUAGGAGUGGUGCCAAUUGAGGAUAAGUUGAGAGAAGGGAGAUUGAGGUGGUUUGGUCAUGUGAAGCGUAGACAUACGGAGGCUCCAGUUAGACAAGUAGAGCACAUUAGGUUAGAGGAUAGAAAGAAAAAAAGGGGUAGACCUAAAUUGACUUGGAGGAGAGUAGUACAACAUGACCUAGAAGCAUUACACAUUUCUGAGGAUUUAACCCAAAAUCGUUUAGAGUGGAGAAAGCGAAUCCAUAUAGCCGACCCCAAAUUUUUGGGAUAAAGGCUUAGUUGAGUUGAGUUGAGUUGAGUUGAGUUGAGUUGAGUUUUGUGUCAUGGGAUAGAAUUGAAUCAGUGCCACUACCAUGAAUUUAAAAAAAAAAUGUAGCAAAACUAUUUAUAGGAACAUUAAACCAAUAAGUUAAAUAAAUAUGCAAUAUAUGAGUAAACUAUGCUUCAAAAGGACUAUUUUACUGACACAUAAAAAAUGAUAAACAGAAUUAGUGGUCAGCCUGAACAACCAAAAAAAAAAAAAGAGAGAGAGAGAGAGAGAGA